AUUGAAAGAAGAACUCUCUGCAAGCUCUGCUUUUGCCCAAAGUCUGAAAGCAGAUCUUCAGAGAAAGGAAGAUGAUUGUGUUGAACUGAAAGAGAAACUGACUGAUGCCAAAAGCAGAUUGAGCAAGUACAGAAAGAGGUAUCUGUAAUGCAUGAUGAAGAGAAAUUACUGAGGACUAAAAUAAAUGAGCUAGAGAAAAAGAAAA
rnacentral:lncRNA from 1 species